rnacentral:misc_RNA from 1 species
GAAAUGCGAUAAGUAGUGUGAAUUGCAGAAUUCAGUGAAUCAUCGAAUCUUUGAACGCACAUUGCGCCCCUUGGUAUUCCAUGGGGCAUGCCUGUUCGAGCGUCAUUUGUACCCUCAAGCUCUGCUUGGUGUUGGGUGUUUGUCCCCGUCUCCGCGCGUGGACUCGCCCCAAAGUGAUUGGCAGCCGGCGUACUGGUCCCGGAGCGCAGCACAUGUCGCGCAAACGAGUGCCUUGGUACGGCGGCGUCCAUAAGCCCCUCUCUCACGCUCUUGACCUCGGAUCAGGUAGGAAUACCCGCUGAACUUAGGC